rnacentral:rRNA from 1 species
AGAUUGAACGCUGGCGGCAGGCCUAACACAUGCAAGUCGAGCGGCAGCACGGGUACUUGUACCUGGUGGCGAGCGGCGGACGGGUGAGUAAUGCCUAGGAAUCUGCCUGAUAGUGGGGGGAUAACGUUCGGAAACGGACGCUAAUACCGCAUACGUCCUACGGGAGAAAGUGGGGGAUCUUCGGACCUCACGCUAUCAGAUGAGCCUAGGUCGGAUUAGCUAAUUGGUAGGUAAAGGCCUACCAAGGCUACGAUCCGUAACUGGUCUGAGAGGAUGAUCAGUCACACUGGAACUGAGACACGGUCCAGACUCCUACGGGAGCAGCAGUGGGAAUAUUGGACAAUGGGCGAAAGCCUAGAUCCAGCCAUGCCGCGUGUGUGAAGAAGGUCUUCGGAUUGUAAAGCAACGUUUUUAAGUUGGAGGAAGGGACUAUUAACCUAAAUACGUUAGUGUUUUAGACGUUACGACAGUAAUAAGCACCGGCUAACUCUGUGCCAGACAGCCGUA